UACGUAGGGGGCUAGCGUUGUCCGGAAUCAUUGGGCGUAAAGAGCGCGUAGGCGGCCCGGUAAGUCCGCUGUAAAAGUCAAAGGCUCAACCUUUGAAUGUCAGUGGAUACUGCCGGGCUAGAGUCCGGAAGAGGCGAGUGGAACUCCUGGUGUAGCGGUGGAAUGCGCAGAUAUCGGGAAGAACACCCAUGGCGAAGGCAGCUCUCUGGGACGUUACUGACGCUGAGACGCGAAAGCGUGGGGAGCAAACAGGG
rnacentral:rRNA from 1 species